rnacentral:piRNA from 1 species
UGGCAAGCUGAUUCAUCUACACACAGUAG